GAGGCAAAUUUUUUAGUUUCCUAAGGUAUAAAUCUUUGAGAGUUAGGGCAUCUUAGUGCUGGAAGGUUGGAUUACUCUUAUAUAGCUAGGGAGAAUGGUUCAAAUGUCUAAAUUAUAGCUCUUGCCAGUUUUUGAGAGUCUUUGCCAACAAAUAUUAUCUGGUCAGAAUAGUAAAAAACAAAACAACAACAACACGCCACUCCACCCCCUAUAAAAGCCCUAAACCAAAUCGUUUCACUCCAGUGGCAGCAGUUUGCAUACUCCAGCUGCUCUUUAGAUUCUCAAAGGAAAAAAAUAAUUAAGCUAAUUAACAGGGAGUAAAUGAAACUUUUCAAAGUGAAGCUUUUAAAGUGUUUGUUCAGUAAAGCAGCAGAAAUGGUCACAUAUGAAUUUCAAAGUACUCAAGAUUCCUCUUAGAAGUUACAAGUUGGACAAAGGAACUUUUUUUUUUUUAACUAAUAAGUGGUUAUGGACAUUUGACAUGCUGCACAUUCUAAUUCCAAAUGAAGAUCGACAUGCUGGCAACAUAGUAAUAUAUAUGAUAAGAUAGUAAUUAAAGCAGCCAGUAUUUGAAACCCUUAAAUAUAAUGAUUAUGAUAAUGUUAGGGAUAAUUCAUUGGAAGGAAAAGUGGGAAGUCAUAUUGUAUAGGUAGAGAAAGCUCCUUUAAUGAUUACAGAGGACUUUAAAAGUUGGACUCUUAAGAGGAGGGCCAUCUCAUUGUCAAAACUUAUGUCUGCCUCAUUCUUUUAAAAAUGUUUGUACUUCAUAUGUUGCCCACCACCUUGAGCUCGCUUUUCAGUUCCUGCAAAAGCAUAUUUGUGAAGAAUAAUACUCAUAGAAAGAUUGCCUAAAGGAUGUGGAGUCCAGUUUGCCCCUGGAUAUUUUGUAUUUUACCCAACCACCCCUUCAGAGAGCUCUUCAGAAAGCUGUGUACUUGGGCUGUGCUGUUUUGGGGUCCUUGUGAAAAACAAAGAUACAAAGACAUUGGAAUGGAAAGAAUAAAGGUGAUCCCAUUUGCCUGUGAAUAAGGGGACUGUGAAUUCAGGGAAGGAUGGCAGCUACAGAAUGGUGGGGAGUGGACAUGGCUGUUCUGGACUUGGAGAAAAAUUGAGCUGUGGAUUUGGGGAAUGCACAGGACACUCAGAAUGAUGGCAGUUAGUCCCACAAUGAGAUCAGUGGACAGGGCAGUGAGGUUUUUGCUUAAAUUUCCACUAUGUAGAAGAUCUAAUAAACUUUCAUUUGAGAAGAUGAAAAACAUGCAGUAGAUAUGUGAUAGGAUGUAGGGAAUAAUAAAAACCCUUGAAAACCCAUUUAGAAAUUGAAAUCAGGUCAGUUUUUUUUCCUUUCUGUUUUUCUAUUUCAUUUUUAAUUUCCUAUAGAAAAAAAGGAGAACGUAGAAAUGUCUACUGCAAAAUAUGGAUCUAGAGUCAGCUAGUGAACUUUUAUCUAAACCAAGUUCUUUUUUGGAAGUGAUUUUGCAAAAACGAAUGAGUUGUUAAUCAGCAGCCUUAUCUUUUUGUUUUCCCAGUUAGGAACUGCAUUUUUCAUAAUAGUACAGCGCUUAAUGCUAACAUAGCAGGACACUGCCUGGUUAAUUCUUUUGGGAUCUUGUGUUUCUAAUCCCUGGGACACUUAGGAGGCAGCAGCCUCACCCCGUUAGGGUUGAAAGGUCAUGUCUAAAACUCUCCAGAGAAAUGGGAGAAUGUGGGGCUAAAUAUCCUCUUUGUGCUAUGUCAGGAGGAAAAUGAUUUACUCC
rnacentral:lncRNA from 1 species